rnacentral:rRNA from 1 species
CCCUUAGAUGUUCUGGGCCGCACGCGCGCUACACUGAUGCAUUCAACGAGUUUCCUUGGCCGAGAGGCCUGGGCAAUCUUUUGAACGUGCAUCGUGAUAGGGAUAGAUUAUUGCAAUUAUUAAUCUUGAACGAGGAAUUCCCAGUAAACGCAGAUCAUCAAUCUGCAUUGAUUACGUCCCUGCCCUUUGUACACACCGCCCGUCGCACCUACCGAUUGAAUGGUCCGGUGAAGCCUCGGGAUUGUGGCGAGUUCCCUUUAUUGGGAGUUUGUUGUGAGAACUUGUCUAAACCUUAUCAUUUAGAGGAAGGUGAAGUCGUANCA